GGCCGCAUGGCCCAAUUGGCAAGGCGCUUGACUACGAUUCCAAGUCUUGGCAUCAAGAGAUUCUGGGUUCGAAUCCCAGUGUGGUCA